rnacentral:piRNA from 1 species
UAAUGAUCCACCCAGUUGACAGCUUC